AAUCUACUGCGUUGGAAAAAAAUCAAAAGUAGGUCUUCAGCCUAUACCUACCUAUUUCUAACAUGUAGCCUGAUUCCAUGUUUUUCUACCGUACUUACUCGUUGACAAGGCUAUUUCGAAAGUGUGUAAUAAAAUAAUGAUACGUAGAGUGAUCGUAAGCUACUUCGUGACGAUCAUUUUGUUUUGUGGAAUUUCCGCUAAACAUAAUGAUUAUGUAAGAAGUGAAAACGAAAGGUUUUCAAAUGAUUUCGAUUACGCCGAAUCAGCCUUUUUUCGAAAAAAGUGGAUUUCGGAGUUAUUCUUCGAGGCACAGACAAAGUUUGAAAUGGAUCCUACGGAAAAUACUGCUUGUAAAAAUGAUUUCGAUUUGUUCAAGUUGCAUCUUAGAAAUCAUUCUGCGUGGGCAGUCAGAAUGAUGGAAUCAUCAGAAUGGCCAUUAGCUGGGAUUUUCUCUGGAAAGGUCGAUCAUCUCGGAAAUUAUGACCAGUGUUUGGCCAUUUCGUCGUACAGCAUCAAGGGACGAUACUGUUUGGCAAAAGUAGCAUUCAACUAUUCGGAUACUGCGCAAAGUGAAGCACUCGAAGAACUUGACCAAAGAAUUUCAGCUUGGAAUGCUUUGUCUAUGUAUGAAAAAAAUCCAGGUCGAGUGAAUAGAAAAAGACUGACAUUCGCUUUGUGCGUACCAUCGUCUUGCACGCCAACCGAUUUAAAUGCUUCUCUGAAUAACCAGUUGUAUCCGAUAUUCAAAAAUAACGGACUCUAUGUGACGAUUGAUGUGGAUCCUAUAUUUUGCAAAACGCAGGACAAUAUUGUUUAUUCAUCAGGAUUUUAUAUUGCCAAAUGGUCGUUUUUAGCGUAUAUUACAUUUGUGAUUUGUACGACUUUAUACGAUUAUGUAACUUCUAAUGGUGCUGAAACGGAUUGUGAUGAUAAACAGAAAUGGCGUUUCUUUGAAGAGGUAACCAACAUUUUCUCCUUCAGCAAAAAUUUCACAAAGUUGAAGCAAUAUGAUGCUAAAGAACUUGUAGGACCGCAUUUUUUGAAAAUUAUGAAUGUCAUGUUUACUAUUUAUGGUCAUCGAUUUUUUUACACUCUCAUUUUUCCUUCAUCCAAUGCUGUUGUGAAAGAACAAUUUUAUACUGGGUUUGAUUUACUCCUAACACACAUGAACAUCGUUGUAGACGCAUUUUUCUUCGUUAGUGGUUAUUUGACGUUUCAUUGUGAACUUCAAUCUAUGAAGAGAGAUGGGAAAUUCUCCUUAAUUACUAAUAUCCUACUCAGGUGGAUGAGAAUGGCUCCAGUAUUUGGCGUUUUGAUAUUAUUCAUCAUAUACAUAUUUCCAUACACUGGGGAUGGUCCACUUUGGAAUUAUCAAAUCCUGAAUGAAGUCAACAAAUGCAAGGAGACCUGGUGGGCCAGUUUAUUUGCCAUCAGCAACAUUGUCAGACCUGAUCAACUGUGCAUAAUCCCAAGUUGGUACAUAUCAGUGGAUAUUCAGUUGGCUGUCAUUGGAGGAAUCUUAUUGUACAUUUGGUCAAGGAGUACAAAAAUUGGCAUUUUCUCAGUAGGAUUGACGUUCGUCGUUUCCAUUAUCAUGACAUUUAUUGUUGCGUUUAAGAACCAUUCAUAUGGACUGAUGAGAAUAUACUUGAAUAUGAUGAAAGAUGAUUGUAGGACCAACCCAGAGUUCACUGAUUUGUACAUUGCAACAUUUGCCAGAUGUGCUCCUUAUUUAAUUGGAUUUUUCACCGCUUAUGUAGUUCAAUCAUUGAAUAAAAAGAAAUUCAAAUUUACCAAAAAACAAACGUGUUUAUAUUCACUUCUAGUUCUUUUUAUUAGUGAAGCAUGCUCAUUUUACGGACUCGCGUUUUAUGCGAUCGACAGACCAUAUAAUAUGUAGAUUUGAAAACGCAUUGUAUGCGGCUUUAAAUCAUGUGGCGAUCAUGUUGCCAUAUGCUGUGAUGUCUUUAUUUUACAUGACAACUGGAUUAGGUAUUUUUAAUAAUCUUAUCGGAUGGAAAGUAUGGAUACCCUUUGGACGUCUAACAUAUUCGGUUUACUUGAUAAAUACGAUAGUUCAAUUGUACCACGUUUCUUCUCAAAAACAGCCGUUCGUGUUACCUGACAGAAUAAAUUUGGUAUGGUGGUUCCUAGGCGAUGUAAUGUGGUGCUACUUGAUGGGAUUAGCUUUUUAUUUACUUGUCGAAGCUCCGAUUUUGAACUUGAGAAUAUUGGUGAAAAAACAAUUAUCGAAAAUGUUUAUGAAGUCUAAACCAGAUAAAAACAUCGCAGAUAGGAUUCAAGGACACCUGUGAAACCAUAAUUUUCCAGUUACCAGUUGAUUAUUUAAAUACCUAACACUGUUUAAAUAAUAAUUGCUAUUAACUAUACUCGCUGGAAAUAUUUGUCUUUCAUGAAUUAAAUUUUUGAACACCAUCUAAUUAUAAAACAACACAAUAUAUUUUGGUUUGAUUCAAAAAAAAAAAAAUAAAAAAAAAAAGUUGAAUACAUCAGGAGAAAUGCAAUAUU